AACCCUCAGGCCCCCAGUGCCUGGCGUUGGGGAUCGGCGUGGGCCGGGUGGGCGUCCUCCGGGACGUCUCCCGCGCCUGCCGGCCCCGAAAUUCAGUGGCGGUCUCGCUGUAGUCCCCCUCUGCGUAGUAGCACAACUCGCAUUGGAGCUCGGCGGUGGCCAUGCCGU
rnacentral:rRNA from 1 species